rnacentral:tRNA from 1 species
UUAAUUCUAUUUUGGCAGACUAUCUAAUGCAAAAGACUUAGAAUCUUUAAAAAUCA